GCCUGGCUGGCUCAGUCGGUAGAGCAAGGGACUCUUGAUCUCAAGGUUGUAAGUUUAAGCCCCAUGUUAGGCA
rfam:Ailuropoda melanoleuca scaffold1305_45, whole genome shotgun sequence.